UGGGAGUGAGAAUGUUGGCAUGAGUAGCGAGAUGUGGGUGAGAAUCCCACAGGCCGUAAACCCAAGGUUUCCAGGGGAAGGUUCGUCCGCCCUGGGUUAGUCGGGACCUAAGCUGAGGCCGAAAGGCGUAGGUGAUGGACAACAGGUUGAUAUUCCUGUACUACCGAUAACCGUUUGAGAGAAGGGAUGACACAGUAGGAUAAGCUAAGCACACUGUUGGUUAUGUGUGCCCAAGCAUUGAGGCAGUCAAAGUAGGCAAAUCCGCUUUGAUAAUGCUGGGAUGUGAUGGGGAGCGAAAUUUAGUA
rnacentral:rRNA from 1 species